rnacentral:lncRNA from 1 species
GAAAUAUUUAGUGGCUUAUACUAGUUUGAACAUGAAUCUAUAAUGAAAAAUUGGAUGUUCUUUAAUAGUUGACCUGUUGGUAAUCCUUAGUAUUAUAAAUUACACUUUAACCUGCAUAAAAGUGAUAUCUACAUGUCAUUAGAAUCCAGAAUGCUUAAUGUAAAAGCAUGUAUCAAAUGUAAGGUCAAAGACAUUAGUAAAGUGAAAAUUUCUUUUUGUUUUUUGUAUCAGAGAAAUAGUGAAGUUUUGUUAAUGGUCAGCUUUUAGAAGGAACAAUCAUUGGUAAUGUAUAGAACCAAACUAUUUUAGUUUAGUGGUACAUGAAGGAGAAAAACAAUGGUGUCCACAUUACAACAGGACAUCAUAGAAGAACUGAAGAUAGUGAAGUAAUUGUUGUCAGAUUUAGGAAAUCCAGUGUAUAUGAGCUGAAUCCUCACGCUAAAAAAAGCAACAAAACCCAGGAACACUUAGUUGUUGGUUUUUACCACAAGCCCUACAGAAUUUUCAUCUUCUUGUACACAAGCAUUUUGAUUUUCAGCUUUCCAUUUAAAAUACAGGACUAUUUUACACAGGCACAUCAUUUCAAUACUUAAGAAAAAAGAACAGAAAAUAGGUAGCUGCUUGAUAGAGUUAGGUUCUGUGUGUGCUAAUAGCAUUAGAAUGUGCUUCCUGAUGAGGAAGAACACAAAAGAAGUAGGCAGAGGAAGCUGCAGCCCUGUACUGGAAAGGGACCACACAUAGUCUGGCUGUUGAGUGUACAGCUCACCCACAGCUCAUCUGAGCUCAUAUUUUUAUGUUAUAACCUCAGUCUAGGUACUCACCAGACACUAACCUCUGUUCUGGUUUGUUGUCUCCAGAGAGUAAUGGUGUACAGCAACCUACUUUCCCAGCAGGAAAAAGGAAUCCUAUAAUGUUAGCAUUGCAUUGGUAUUGUCAGAAUGAGCUCACAGUGUUUCAAACUGUAUUUUCUGCUCUCUCCAUCAAGAGACAGAAGUGGAGCCCUUCCGGUGACAUGGAACAUUUCUGGUGCUAGCUCUUGUUCUCUGCUCACCAAUCCAUAGACUCCAAGGGAAAAUGCCAGUCUUGAUCAUGAGGAGGUAAUUAUAGAAUCCCAGGAUACUUGAGGCCAGAACACAAGUCCCCAGAUACCAAUGUCCAAACCUGAGACAUCUUGGAAUGAAAAGGACCGUGACUGUAAUCCAUUCAACAUGGAACAAAGAAACAAAACCCACAUUUUAUAUCCCACAGCCAUAGAUCUGUUUCCUUGUCACUAUGAGGAUCAUAUUUAAAACAUACAAUUAGGAUUAUAAUGUGACUUCUUUGAAAUACACAUACAUCCUAAGUGACUAUUGCUUCUCUUUCCACGGGUAAACAGAGUCUGUCCUUUUAAAGCUGAAAUAUUUGCUUAACUUGCUGUCUGUUGUCUCCAUGCUUUCUUAACUGUACUUUAAAUAAUAUACUGGCCCCAUGAAAAUCCUUAGUUCUGUGUGCCUGAUUUUAACUGGAAUGCUUCUGAUCUACUAUACCAAAGUCAAACAUCUGCACACAAAUUCAUUUCUUAUGACAUUCUCUAAAAUUGUGUGUGUGUGUGUGUGUGUGUGUGUGUGUGUGUGUGUGUGUGUGUGUGUGUUGGGGGUAAGGUGCCUGUGCAAGUGCAUUAAGGUUUGUGCAUGUAGGUGCAGUACAUAAGGAGGCCAGAAGAGGGAUCAGAAACCCUGAAGCUUUUGUGAUUGAGUUACCUCACUCAGGAUGAUACUAGGAAUUUCAUAAAUUCAUUGUUUUUAAUAGCUGAGUAGUACUCCAUUGUAUAAAUGUACCACAUUUUCUGUAUCCAUCCCUCUGUUGAGGGACAGCUGGGUUCUUUCCAGCUUCUGGCUAUUAUAAAUAAGGCUGCUAUGAACAUAGUGGAGCACUUGUUCUUAUUACCAGUUGGAACUUCUUCUGGAUAUAUGCCCAGGAGAGGUAUUGCUGGAUCCUCCUGUAAUACUAAGUCCAUUUGACUUUGUUUAGAAUCACCGAAGUUUGCUAAGGUACACCCAUGGGUGUGUCUGUGAUUAACGAAUGGAGAGCCACCCUGAGUGUGAGCAGCUCCUUCCCAUGAGAAGGAGAAUGGGGAUGAAAAAAAGCCAGCUUAGCGGAUGUCCCCUCUCUUUCUCGUAGUUUCCAGGCUGCCAUGAUAUGAAUUGCCUUGCUUUGCCAGGCCCUCCCUAAAGUAAUGGUCUGAAUGUUUGAAUAUGUGAGCCAAAAUAAUUUCUUCCUCCUUUGUGUCACGUAUUCGGUUACAGAGGCAACCAGUGCAAUGAGCACAAAGUAAUUCUCAGUCCAGAAGCAGCUGGGUAGAGUGGUAGCUGGUUAGUCAUAGAGAGGUUUGAGGACUCCUUGGACCUUGUAGGUAUCAUGGGAUAACCGUGAGAUGAGAGAUUGCUGAAUAAUCAGUGAACAUGAAAUUACCUGCUUCUAACUUUACUGGAACUAACUUUCAGUGUGAGGACAUAUUUUCUAAUUUAAGUGGGAAGUACCUGCCCCUUUGAGUACAGGUGUGCUAGUGAAAACUUUAGCAUCUUGAAGACACAGAAGUCAAAUUUCAGAAGGAUCUUAGAGUAUGAAUAAAAGAACAUCUUGUCUGAGUAUAACAUAACUGUUUUUAAAUGUCUUCUAGAUUCUUGGCUGUGGGUCAAUGGAUGUAUGGUUGGGAGGAAAUCAUCUAGUAACCUAUUUAUAUCAUACAAAUGUCAUGAGUUAUGUGUUGCAAAUAUUCACUUGAGAGUAAAACUGCAGAUAGUGUUAAGAGUAAGUAAAAAAGGCAGGCAUGGGAUUGCACAAGUCAAAUCCACAAAGACAGGGAGUAAAGAAGAGGUCACUGGAGCCCAUGUGAAAAGCCCAUGAGAAGUUGUAAUUUAGCAGGUACACAGUUUUUGUUUGGUGUGAUGAAAAGACUUUUUGUAAAUACAUAAUUGUGUUGUUUCUACAAAAUUGAAAAUGUAUUUUGUGCUGACUACUUUUAUGUCAACUUGACACAAGCUAUAAUUAUUGGGAAGAGAACAUCAAUUAACAAAAUGUUCCCACUAGAACAUGGGAACAAACCUGUGAAACAUUUUCUUAUUGACUGAUAAGGGAGAGCUGAGCAGGCCAUGAGGAACAUGCCAGUAAACAGUAUGCCUCCAUGGCUCUGAAUAAGCUCUUGCUUGCAGGUUCCUGCACUAUGAUAUGGAAGUAUAAACAAGAUGAGCCCCCUACCCAGCUGCUUUAGCUCCUGGUGGUUCAUCAUGGCAUAGAAACACUAGGACGUAUUUCAUGAACAUAACUGUAUAUUUAACAGUGCAGCAUGGAAAGUGUUAGAUAUUGUUUACAACAAUU